UCUCAAUUAUACUUUUUCAUUUAGGAAAUAUAUAUAUAUGUGUGUGUGUGUGUGUGUGUGUGUGUGUGUAUGUGUGUACCCAUACACACACACACACACACACACACACAUACAU
rnacentral:miRNA from 1 species